CAUUUUCCUUGCCACCACUGCCGCAUCUAUGGCACGUUUCUUUAUAACAUUAAACUCUGUCCGAUGUUCAUGCCUUUCUAAAAGGAAUUCCUUUACCUGUUUCCUGCUAGUGGCUAUCUUUGAAAAUUUGGAAAGAGGAAGCACAGACCUGGGUGGAACUCAUGAGAAGAAGAAAGAAAAGCAAUUUGAGGAAAUGGAGUCAAGGAGCUGAGGGAAGAACAAAUCAAGAAAAAAGACAGAAAGACUCCACCUCACCUAAAAUAGAUUAAUCAUUAUAUGAAUAAACAUCUGGAAGAUUGUGUUUGUUAUCAUCUUCCUUCAAGCCCUCCCCUCACCCCCAGGUCAGUACAGAG